GAAUUUUUAGUAUAAUUUUUGUAUAACUGAUUGUUGAUUAGUGGGUUCAUAAAUUCUGAAAGAUUUUU
rnacentral:tRNA from 1 species